GGAGGGGUGGGCAGGGGGGGGGGGAGAAGAUUCCUGGCUCUGCUGUUUGCAUGUGGUACAGCCAGUGUGAUCAGAGCAGGCUGUGUAAUUACAUGUCUCUAGUAAGUGUGUUAGCUCCACAGGGAGCUGAGUCCAUUUGGAGAGGAGGAGAAAUAGAUUUUAUUUUGGGGGGGUAAGGUGAAAAGGGUCAGUCCAUAACCCAGUUCUCAUUCGAAUAUGAUAAAGGUAAUUGUUGCUCUCAAGUGAAUGCCGGGCGCUUCCUGGUUCUGCUCCUCUCGUUCAUUGCUCAUGCCUGUAUUAUGCAGACGUCUGCUUUCCAAAGAGAGGAGCAGGUUUUUAUGAGAAGAGAGAAGAAAAUUGACGAUUUUGGAAGCGUUUGCUGUAGGUGCUGCUGGAUGCUUUGCUGUGAUACGGGGCCGAAGGCUGACCAAAUCCGAGGGAGGAUUUGUAUGUAGGAAGAGAAGGUUAUGGCUGUUCAGCGUGCUCCAGAAUCUGCUCUUAGCUUGUUGAUGGUAAGUGCUUGCUGAAAUGUGGAGCUUAUUGAGAGGCUAGUGGGGAGAGUGCAUGGAUCCUGAGUAGAAAAUCAUUGAGAGACCAUGUUGACCACAUGCUUUUCUUUAACAGGUCCUGGAGAACUUUGAAAAUGAGUUCAUUUGGAGCGUACAUAGAAACAUUCCUCUGAUGGUGGUUUUAAGCAUAUUCACCACUAAUAAUGUUCAUAUUUUGAAAUGCCUUUAAUAUACAGGUAUAUUUGCAUCCUGGUUUAUCCCAACCUGUAGAGACUUCCACAUAGUUCAUCAUAUGAGAAUCUAAAAUGUCUGUCUUUUCUUCCUUCUGCUUUCUCUCAUUUUUUCCUUGCUAAUUGCAAGACAGCUAAAUGCCAAGGAGUCUUUUCCCCCAUCAAUCCACGUACAUAUGUCGUUAAUGAAUGGAUGCUUAGAGAUGAUACUGUUAUCAUCAUUUGGUAAACCAGUGAAUAGUCACUUGACUAGCUAAUGAGUAUGCUGGACGUGAUAUUGACUGCGACCUGUAGCGAGAAAUGGCUAGUGUUUAUAUGAGACAUUUACUACAUGUUGCGCUACUGACCUACUUUUCAAAGUUCUGCAGAUUUAUAAUAUUUCAAAGAAGAUUAUUUCGCAUAAAAUGUGGAGGCUGAGUCCCGGAAAAUAAUGAUAUCUUGCUGCAAUUAAAAUA
rnacentral:lncRNA from 1 species